rnacentral:lncRNA from 1 species
GUGUGGUGGAAGAAAGUAGGAAUUUUAUUUUGCACAGCACUGAGCAAGGAGAGAGGGCAGCUAACGCUGAAAUCCCAAACUCCCCAAAAAGCUAAAAGGAAGGGUUUUUAUUUAGGGUUUUAGGUAGGGGAGGGGGAGCAUAUGGCCUUGCUGGUCAGACCUUUCCCACCAGCCUGUGUUUGGCCUUGAGACGACUUGCAGAGAGGAGGGAGCCCGUGACCUUGCUGGUCAGCAGCUUUCCCACCAGCCUGUAUCUCCUCGCAGGGAGGAGAUAGUGAAUCCAGUUCUGUCAGUUUUUGUCUCACACAUUUUGCUGCUAUGCUGUUGGGUCUGAGUUUCUGCCCUGCAUCAUUUUCUUUGUCACAGAGGAACAUCUUUUAACAUUCUCGCAAGGAGAACACAGACCGUGCUCCAACAAGUGUCUGACAACAAUUUGAAGCUUGAUGUUGAGCCCUUCAAAACCACACAGUCUUAGCCCGUCUGUCCCAAGUGUGAGGUUGGAGGGUGGAAGACAGUGGUGACUGGGGGCAUGAGCCUGGAUGAGAUGACUCACAAGGCCUCUUGCAGCCUGAAGAUUUGAGGAUUCUGUGCUGAUGUACCUGUGACAGCCAUCAGAAACCAACAGCAUCUUCUCUAGAAUUUGAGUUUGGAUAUUGGAGCCCCAGAUUUUGACAUGGGGCUGCCUAUUUUAGGGAUCACUAUCCCUUUUGCCUCCAUAAAGACAUUUAAGAUGGUAGUUUGGGCUGCCAGUUUCUAGAAUCUCUCUGAUGAGAGGUAUCUUGGAUCACCUCCCGAGGCUCCCUUGGCUAGGCAAUGUUAGGAAAAUAGUUCUGCAGCAGCAGAGACACCCCCUCCCCAAAGGGUCUGCUCUGCUCGCUCUGUUCCCAGGGCAUAUGGGCACACCUGCCAGCCAGCUCUGGCCCCCUGGAGUAGGCACGUCCCCUGAUGUGGGAGUCAAUGGUCACAGACCCUUUGAUGGUGCACUUUUCUAUACUUGUAUAUUCUCUUCCUUUUUUUCUUCUCCCUCCUUCUCCCCUCUCAAUGUAUCUAAACACCUGAAGAAGAAACUGCUGGUUGCUUACUCCAACAUCUGUUCUUCUCUUCCUCAACAACAAAGACUUGAAUUUGUUUUUUUUUUAAUAUAUUCUUUUUUUUUUUGAGGAAGAUUAGCCCUGAGCUGACAUCUGCUGCCAAUCCUCCUCUUUUUGCUGAGGAAGGCUGGCCCUGAGCUAACAUCCGUGCCCAUCUUCCUCUCCUUUAUAUGUGGGACGCCUACCACAGCAUGGCUUGCCAAGCGGUGCCAUAUCCGCACCCAGGAUCCGAACCGGUGAACCCCAGGCUGCCAAAGUGGAACGUGCGAACUUAACCGCUGAGCCACCGGGCCGGCCCCUUGAAUUUGUUUGAGGAUGGCAAUGUACCCAGUUUAAGAAAGUCUCCAUUAGAAGGAGUGGCCAGACGAAGUUAUGGCCAAUAAGUUGUAAGCAGAAGGGUUGUGCAGUAUUUCUGGGAAGCUUCCUCAAAAGGAAGGAGUAAUUUUUCUUCCCUUUCUUCCUUUUUGCUAUCUGGAUUGUGGAUACAAUGACUGGCACUUAAGCAGCCAUUAAGGACACUGAGGCAACAUGCUAAAUAUGGUGAAGUAGCAGCUUGGAAGAAAUUGGGGUCUCUGGUGACUUUAUAGAGUCACCCUAGCAACCCUGGCCUGCCUGCCCUCAGACUUCUCUUAUGGGAGAGAUAAAUAAGCUUCUGUCUUUUGAAAGCAACUGUUAUUGCAACCAGAGCUAAUCCUAACUAAUACAAUAUUCCCUCUCUAAACUCAGACUGUAGCUUGACAAGUAGCUCCAGAUAAUAGGGUGGAGUUUUAUGGGUUAAAAUAUGGAUAUGGAGAAGAGCGAAAAUUUAGAAUAUCUUAAGGGAUAACAGUGGGGAUUUCCCUAGGCAAGAGGCACAAGAAUAGCACUAGGCUGUACGCAGUUUCCCUUCACAGUAAGGCCCAUUUGGACCCCAUUGCAUCUCUCAGAUUUGCCACUAUAUCCCCAGUGCCUACCCCAGUGCCUGACACAUAGAACCGGCUCAAUUAAAAAUUGUUGAAAGAGUAAACAGUUUGUUGCUUUUGUAAGUGCUCUGACCAACAGGCCAAUUCACUUCGGAAAGCUCCCCCCUCAUCCCCAUGCGAAAUCUCUUCUACAACCCACCAUCACCUGUCACCACCUCUGAAACUUGCAUACAUUUAUUAACUGGUCAGCAGGCAUCAGGUACUGUGUUCAGCUUGGAGGAUGAAGUGCUGAGCAAAACAGGUGGUAGCAGCAGGAAGUUCACCAGUGGGACAGCAGAGAAAUUGCGAGAAGCCCUGCUGAGGAAGCCCCAGUGGGCUGGGGCCGUCUUGUUUUUUGCUGAGGAAGAUUCACCCUGAGCUAACAUCUGUGCCAAUCUUCCUCUAUAUUGUAUGUGGGUUGCCGCCACAGCAUGGCCACUGAUGAGUGGUGUAGGUCCGCACCCAGGAGCCAAACCCGAGCUGCAGAAGCGGAGAACACUGGACUUAAUCACUAAGCCAUGGGGCUGGUGGGGCCAUCAUUUUUGCUCACGUUCCUCCUCUUCUAGUUCUUGUCUUCCCCACCCACCCCCUCCUGGUCAUCUCUUUUUCAUUCUUUCCUGUCCUCUCCAUUUAUCUACAUCAGUCACAAAUCUUUCAAAGGUGAGCCUGUUCCCUCUGCCUACCCAAGACAUCCUCCAUGCAGCCCACCUCCUUCUCUCCCACUUGAGUUUGGUGACCCAGAGCUUGUAAGUGUGUUGUCACACCACAACCAGAAGUGGUUCAUGAAAUGAGACAAGCUGGGAAAUAAGGCUGUAAGUGAUUCCUUCCUCUACAAAAUUACAUGGAGUGCUGUGGUGCUGAGCCCUGUAUUGGUCUUGAAAACUGGACAUUUCCUCAGCAACUUGAUAAGAAUUCGCUAUGAGGCUGACUAGAAUCUGGGGGCUGGAGGGGAAACUGAGGCCUAGAGCAAAGAGGUAACCGUACAAGUUUCACUGCUAGAGGGCUCUGCCUGGCCCAGGGACUUACUAAGGCAUGGCUCAGAAAUGAUCCUGGGUAACUGCUUUGUUUUGCAAAUUGCAAAACUGAGGUCUGGAGACACCAAUGACUUGCCCAGGGCAUGUGGCUUGUUCCCAAAGACUAGGACUACAGCCCAGGACUCCUGACUCUUCUUCCUAGAACACCUCAGCUGCCUCAGUCUUCUCCAGAGUGACCUUUAGAGACUAGUUUAAUUUUGUAAGCUGGUGGGGCUUGCAGUAAGAACUUUGAAGAAGAAAUGUCAAAAGGAAUCGACAAGAAUAAAAAUGGAGAGGAGAUCACAAAGCUCAGUGUCCCUUGAGGCUUUUCCUAUCUCUUUCCUUGACACCUCCCUAGCCAGCCCCUCCUCCUCCCUUGCACGGCCUCACUGUUUGCGGCGUCCAAAGGGUGGCUCUGGCCUCCUCUGCACCCACUUCCCAGGGCGCAUGUCCACUCACAUCACUUUAGCUCCUGUGACAUGCAGACACUUCCACAUCUGCUGCUCCUGCCCUGGACUUCACAUUUCUUUCCACAGCUGGUUCUGGGAUAUUUCCAUAUGUAAAUAUGCUUAGCUCAGCUGGAAAUCAAAAUUGGAAUUCAUCUUCCCUCUGAAAAUCUGCAGCCUUUUCCUACACCCCUGUUUCCUUCCGUGCUUCCAUAGUCUCCCAGACUCAAAACUUUCGUGUCCCCAGAGGCUGGAGGAGUUGGGAAGGGGAGUCAGUGUUUAAUGGGGACAGAGCUUCAGUUUGGGAAGAUGACAACGUUCUGGACACGGAUGGUGAUGAUGGUUGUCCAACAAUGUGAAUGUACUUAAUGCCACUGAACUGCACACUUAAUAAUGGUUACAAUGGAGAAAAAUGGUUGCAGGGGUAAAUUUUAUAUGUAUUUAACACAAUAUAAAAAACAUAAAACAAAAAACUUUCAUGUUAUCCUUGACUCAUGGCUACUUUGCUCUCUCCUUCCCAGCUCACUUUGUCCCCGGGUCAUGCUGAGUUUUCACUUAGUGGAAGUUCCUCAAACUUUCACAAACUCCAGCAUCAUCAGGGACGCUUGUUAGUUAUCAAUUCCCGAGCCCCAUCCCCCUCUUUAGUCUAAGAGUGAGGCCUGGAAUCUGCAUUUUAAACGAACUUGCC